rnacentral:rRNA from 1 species
UACAGAGGGUGCGAGCGUUGUUCGGAAUUAUUGGGCGUAAAGCGCGUGUAGGCGGCUUUGCAAGUCGGGUGUGAAAGCCCUCAGCUCAACUGAGGAAGUGCGCCCGAAACUGCAGAGCUUGAGUUCCGGAGAGGAUGGCGGAAUUCCCGAAAGUAGAGGUGAAAUUCGUAGAUAUCGGGAGGAACACCGGUGGCGAAGGCGGCCAUCUGGACGGAUACGUGACGCUGAGACGCGAAAGCGUGGGGAGCAAAACAGG